rnacentral:rRNA from 1 species
CCCUUAGAUGUUCUGGGCCGCACGCGCGCUACACUGAUGCAUUCAACGAGUCUAAAACCUGCUCUGAUAGGGGUGGGUAAUCUUUUGAAUGUGCAUCGUGAUUGGGAUAGAUGAUUGCAAUUUUUCAUCUUCAACGAGGAAUGCCUAGUAAACGCAAGUCAUCAGCUUGCAUUGAUUACGUCCCUGCCCUUUGUACACGCCGCCCGUCGCUCCUACCGAUUGAAUGAUCCGAUGAAUAUCAUGGAUUGAGGAUGUAAGCAGGUUCGCCUGUCUUCAUCUUCGAGAAGUGAAGUAAAUCUUAUCAUUUAGAGGAAGGAGAAGUCGUAACA